AUUGAACGCUGGCGGCAUGCCUUACACAUGCAAGUCGAACGGCAGCACGGGGGCAAUCCUGGUGGCGAGUGGCGAACGGGUGGGUGAAGUAUCGGAACGUGCCCGGUCGUGGGGGGUGACGUAGCGAAGGCUACGCUAAUACCUCAUACGAUCUGUGGCUAGAAGCGGGGGACCGUAAGGCCUCGCGCGAUUGGAGCGGCCGAUAUAGGAUUAGGUAGUUGGUGGGGUAACGGCCUACCAAGCCGACGAACGGUAGCUGGUCUGAGAGGACGACCAGCCACACUGGGACUGAGACACGGCCCAGACUCCUACGGGAGGCAGCAGUGGGGAAUAUUGGACAAUGGGCGCAAGCCUGAUCCAGCAAUGCCGCGUGCAGGAUGAAGGCCUUCGGGUUGUAAACUGCUUUCGUACGGAGCGAAAACGCUUCCAUUAAUACUGGGGGCUCAUGACGUUACCGUAAGAAUAAGCACCGGCUAACUACGUGCCAGCCGCCGCCGUAACAC
rnacentral:rRNA from 1 species